AGGGAGAGCGAAAGAGGAAGAUCGGUAUUAGGAGGAGGAACGACAAGGAGCUCAGUUUUAGAGAGAUUGAGUCUCAGAAAGCAGGGGGACAUCCAGACAGAGAUGGAAGAAAGGCAAGCAGUGACACGUUGCAGGACUGCAGGGGAGAGGUCCGGGGAGGAGAGAUAUAUCUGGGUGUCAUCAGCGUACAGGUGGUAGUGAAAUCCAAAUGAGGUAAUGAGUUUGCCAAGAGAGGCAGUAUAAAGAGAAAAGAGAAGGGGACCAAGGACACACUGCAAGGCGUAUUCAGAUGUAUCCAG